CCUUGACAGUUACAUUAAGUGACUGACAUUUGCCAAGACAAGGAGAUUGACAUG
rnacentral:ncRNA from 1 species